rnacentral:rRNA from 1 species
AACGAACGCUGGCGGCAGGCUUAACACAUGCAAGUCGAGCGCCCCGCAAGGGGAGCGGCAGACGGGUGAGUAACGCGUGGGAACGUACCCUUUUCUACGGAACAACGCAUGGAAACGUGUGCUAAUACCGUAUACGCCCUUAGGGGGAAAGAUUUAUCGGAGAAGGAUCGGCCCGCGUUGGAUUAGCUAGUUGGUGGGGUAAAGGCCUACCAAGGCGACGAUCCAUAGCUAGUCUGAGAGGAUGAUCAGCCACAUUGGGACUGAGACACGGCCCAAACUCCUACGGGAGGCAGCAGUGGGGAAUAUUGGACAAUGGGCGCAAGCCUGAUCCAGCCAUGCCGCGUGAGUGAUGAAGGCCUUAGGGUUGUAAAGCUCUUUCACCGGUGAAGAUAAUGACGGUAACCGGAGAAGAAGCCCCGGCUAACUUCGUGCCAGCAGCCGCCGUAAAAC